rnacentral:rRNA from 1 species
ACCAGGAUUCCCCCAGUAAGGGCGACUGAAGCGGGAUGAGCUCAAGAUGUGAAUCUGUGCUNUUUUUGAAUGGCACCGAAUUGUGGUCUGAAGACCGUGACAUUAUCCUUCCGGGCCAAGUUCGUUGGAAAACGGCAGCAGAGAGGGUGACACUCCCGUCCGCCUGUUGGAACGAGUCACGUGUCGACGAGUCGAGUUGUUUGGGAUUGCAGCUCUAAKUGGGUGGUAAAUUCCAUCUAAAGCUAAAUAUUGGUGGGAGACCGAUAGCGUACAAGUACCGUGAGGGAAAGAUGCAAAGAACUUUGAAAAGAGAGUUAAAGAGUACCUGAAAUUGCUGAAACGGAAGCGAAGGAAACCAGUGUUUGGCCGUAUCAUACUUCCCUUKCCACUUGUGGUUUGGGCGCUGUGKUGUGGCUGUCUGUCUGCCUUGGUUGUGUCUUUUGGAAGAGCGCUGUCGGAGUUGACGACGGUUGCUAGCAUUGGACUUGACUGAGUGGAGACGAAAUGGUUUUCUUUACCCCGUCUUGAAACACGGACCAAGGAGUCUAACAUAUGUGCGAGUACAGGGGUGUCAAACCCCGGUGCGUAAUGAAAGUGACAGUGGUUGGACAGUUUUUGCACAAUCCGCCGGCCAUAAUCCCUCGGGAGAACGGUCUGAGUGUGAGCAUACAUGUUGGGACCCGAAAGAUGGUGAACUAUGCCUGAAUAGGGUGAAGCCAGGGGAAACUCUGGUGGAGGCUCGUAGCGAUUCUGACGUGCAAAUCGAUCGUCAAA